rnacentral:rRNA from 1 species
CUCAGGAUGAACGCUGGCGGCGUGCCUAAUACAUGCAAGUCGAACGCACAGCGAAAGGUGCUUGCACCUUUCAAGUGAGUGGCGAACGGGUGAGUAACACGUGGAUAACCUACCUCAAGGUUGGGGAUAACAUUUGGAAACAGAUGCUAAUACCGAAUAAAACUUCGUAUCGCAUGAUACAAGGUUAAAAGGCGCUACGGCGUCACCUAGAGAUGGAUCCGCGGUGAAUUAGUUAGUUGGUGGGUAAAGGCCUACCAAGACAAUGAUGCAUAGCCGAGUUGAGAGACUGAUCGGCCACAUUGGGACUGAGACACGGCCCAAACUCCUACGGGAGGCUGCAGUAGGGAAUCUUCCACAAUGGGCGAAAGCCUGAUGGAGCAACGCCGCGUGUGUGAUGAAGGCUUUCGGGUCGUAAAGCACUGUUGUAUGGGAAGAACAGCUAGAGUAGGGAAUGACUUUAGUUUGACGGUACCAUACCAGAAAGGGACGGCUAAAUACGUG